rnacentral:rRNA from 1 species
AUGGGCUGCUAUGAUGCCACCAAGGGCAAGCCUGAGGGCGAUCUUAAUCCAGCACAGCUGGAAGCUUUUGAGAAGAUCGAUACUCUCUUUAAAGGCGCUCUUCUGAGUGUUCUUGAUGACUCCAUUGUGGAUUCGUAUAUGUCGUUUGACAACGGCAAGGACAUGUGGGCUGCGCUCGAGGCCAAGUUUGGUGCCUCGGACGCCGGCAGCGAGUUGUACGUCAUGGAGCAAUUCUAUGACUACAAGAUGACUGAUGAGCGCCCUGUUGUACAGCAGGCUCAUGAGAUACAGUCGCUUGCAAAAGAACUUGAGUACUUCAACGACGACUUCUUUCACGACCUCGGCAACCUCGUCCUCGACGACAUGGGCGACAACGUCAACGCUGGCGGUGCUGCACCCGCUGCAUCUCGAAGGGAGCAUAAGUCAUGGAGUAAACUAUGA